CGUAGGUAAAAAUGAAGGCAUCUCAAAAAUUAGCUACAGCAAAUAUACCAGAAAACGUUUAUGGGCAAAGCGCACGAGAUACAAAAUUGGUCAGAGGUCAACCAGUCGAUAUAGGUUGGUCAAAGUACUGAGUUGUUUACCUCAUUAGUUAUUGAUCUACUAGAGGGAAAUUUUUAAAUAAUAAGAUAGCUAGUUAGCUAAAACUCCCGGGUAUUCCCGGGUAUUUCCAACUGGUUUUGUUGUGUUCUUCGUGGGGGAAGUAAGCUAUGUAUUGGCGCCACCAUCAGGAUGGGAGGGUUACAAUGAUCGGCAUGAUCCUGGAUCUGAUUUCAAACCCUACAGGUCCCCUUUCAACCCAAAAAUCUAGACCGUGUGGAGAAAAUACAGGGUGUACCGCAUUCCAGAGAUCCCACGUUCCAGCCAAAAGAAUGCUACACAUUUGGCCUGAUUUACAGUCGGUUGGUCUUCAGCCGGAAUGUGGAAAGGCUGUUCCGUUGAGCGUUCUUUCGGCAUACCAAAUAAAACAAAGUUG